GACGAACGCUGGCGGCGUGCUUAACACAUGCAAGUCGAACGGAAAGGCCCUGCUUGCCGGGUACUCGAGUGGCGAACGGGUGAGUAACACGUGGGUGAUCUGCCCUGCACUUCGGGAUAAGCCUGGGAAACUGGGUCUAAUACCGGAUAGGAGCCAUUUUUAGUGUGAUGGUUGGAAAGUUUUUUCGGUGUAGGAUGAGCUCGCGGCCUAUCAGCUUGUUGGUGGGGUAAUGGCCUACCAAGGCGGCGACGGGUAGCCGGCCUGAGAGGGUGGACGGCCACAUUGGGACUGAGAUACGGCCCAGACUCCUACGGGAGGCAGCAGUGGGGAAUAUUGCACAAUGGGCGCAAGCCUGAUGCAGCGACGCCGCGGGGGGGAUGACGGCCUUCGGGUUGGAAACUCCUUUCGCUAGGGACGAAGCUUUUUGUGACGGUACCUAGAGAAGAAGCACCGGCUAACUACGUG
rnacentral:rRNA from 1 species